rnacentral:rRNA from 1 species
AUUGAACGCUGGCGGCAGGCCUAACACAUGCAAGUCGAGCGGCAGCGGAAAGUAGCUUGCUCCUUUGCCGGCGAGCGGCGGACGGGUGAGUAAUGUCUGGGAAACUGCCUGAUGGAGGGGGAUAACUACUGGAAACGGUAGCUAAUACCGCAUAACGUCGCAAGACCAAAGAGGGGGACCUUCGGGCCUCUUGCCAUCAGAUGUGCCCAGAUGGGAUUAGCUAGUAGGUGGGGUAACGGCUCACCUAGGCGACGAUCCCUAGCUGGUCUGAGAGGAUGACCAGCCACACUGGAACUGAGACACGGUCCAGACUCCUACGGGAGGCAGCAGUGGGGAAUAUUGCACAAUGGGCGCAAGCCUGAUGCAGCCAUGCCGCGUGUAUGAAGAAGGCCUUCGGGUUGUAAAGUACUUUCAGCGGGGAGGAAGGUGUUGAGGUUAAUAACCUCAGCAAUUGACGUUACCCGCAGAAGAAGCACCGGCUAACUCCGUG